UACGUAGGCAGCGAGCGUUGUUCGGAGUUACUGGGCGUAAAGGGUGUGUAGGCGGUUGUUUUAAGUUUGGUGUGAAAUCUCCCGGCUCAACUGGGAGGGUGCGCCGAAUACUGAAUGACUUGGAGUGCGGGAGAGGAAAGUGGAAUUCCUGGUGUAGCGGUGAAAUGCGUAGAUAUCUGGAGGAACACCGGUGGCGAAGGCGGCAUCCUGGACCGGCAUUGACGCUGAGGCGCGAAAGCCAGGGGAGCAAACGGG
rnacentral:rRNA from 1 species